GACGAACGCUGGCGGCGUGCUUAACACAUGCAAGUCGAACGAAGUGGCGAACGGGUGAGUAAUACGUGGGUACCCUGCCCUCCUUUUUGGGAUAAGCCUUGGUAACGGGGUCUAAUACCGAAUAAAGGGGGAGGGGCUCGAGGCCGAUCAGCGUGUUGGUGGGGUGAUGGCCUACCAAGGCGGUGCCGGGUAGGCGGCCUGAGAGGGUGAACGGCCACAGUGGGACGGCGAAAAGGCCCAGACGACGACGCGGGAGAGCAGUGGGGGAUAUGGAACAAAGGGCGAAAGACGGAUGCAGCGACGGCGCGUGGGGUAUGAAGGCUUUCGGGUUGUAAACUUCUUGCGCUAUAGAGCGGGUAGGUGGAGAAGAAGCGCCGGCUAACUACGUGCCAGCAGCCGCGGUAAUAC
rnacentral:rRNA from 1 species